rnacentral:rRNA from 1 species
GAUGAACGCUGGCGGCGUGCCUAAUACAUGCAAGUCGAGCGAACAGACGAGGAGCUUGCUCCUCUGACGUUAGCGGCGGACGGGUGAGUAACACGUGGAUAACCUACCUAUAAGACUGGGAUAACUUCGGGAAACCGGAGCUAAUACCGGAUAAUAUAUUGAACCGCAUGGUUCAAUAGUGAAAGACGGUUUUGCUGUCACUUAUAGAUGGAUCCGCGCCGCAUUAGCUAGUUGGUAAGGUAACGGCUUACCAAGGCAACGAUGCGUAGCCGACCUGAGAGGGUGAUCGGCCACACUGGAACUGAGACACGGUCCAGACUCCUACGGGAGGCAGCAGUAGGGAAUCUUCCGCAAUGGGCGAAAGCCUGACGGAGCAACGCCGCGUGAGUGAUGAAGGCCUUCGGAUCGUAAAACUCUGUUAUUAGGGAAGAACAAAUGUGUAAGUAACUAUGCACGUCUUGACAGUACCUAAUCAGAAAGCCACGGCUAACUACGUG